UACUGGUAGGUAGCUAUAGGUCUUCUGCAAUAACAGAGUGAUCAAAUGAUGCAUGGAAGGAUUCAUGAGAACCUAUGAAGUGUGACCCUCUGGCAGACAACUCUGUCCAGUCCAAGAUCAUCUACAUCUUCAUCAUUCCUUGACAGAAAACCGUUGAAACUGUUUGGAUACUGAAUGAUGGCUACAGCCCAGUCCCUUCCUCUGGAGCUGUGGUGUGUUGUAAUCCCAUUGUAUUGGUCACCAGCAUAGGAUCCACUUCCCCAGGGAUGGAUCCCUGUCCUUGAGCCUUAACAGAUCAGUGAGGUAAGGAGAAGGAAAGGUCCCUGCCAUCAUCAAAGACAACCCCAGACUCUUCCGAGCCUUGUCCAAAAGCUUCAGUAAUUUACAGUUCCUUAUGUUCAAUCAGAACCAAAAGUUAAUGCCCGUUGGCUAAUUUCCAGUGCAUGCCUCCACAGAACAACUGCUGCCUUUAACUGGUGGAGAGAUCAAGGCUUGAACUGACAAAAGACAUCUGUAUUUUGGAAAACAAAUUAAUGUUUAUGUUUUAAUUUAUAAGUUCCUGGCUCUUUUAUGGUUCCUUUUAUGGUUUUUCAAGUAAUGUCUCUUUGGAUCCCUAGCUGAUGGAGAGUCAAAAUGGAAAAGGCCCAUGAGAGAAUUAUCACAAUAGAACAUCUGGUCUGCAUUGGAAAAAGCUGAGAAAGAUAUUCAACAUCUCUGAGACCAAGAGGCAGCUAUGAGGCAGUUUGAAAGUCAGUCUAUGAAAAAUCGUGCAGGUUGUGGCCACCUGGGCCAAUCUAGUGUUGUUCUGGGAAGAGCUACUCUGCUUCCUUGCAUCUGAAUUUUAAUGUCACUUCAGCACGGAUAUGUGAGAGCUGGGAGUGGUAUGAAAGGUGUUUGCUUUUCAUAAUGUUAAUCUGAGUCCCAGCAUUGUCCUAAUUAUAUUGUGGGUUUUUGCCAGUCUCCUAAGUUUUCUUUUGAGCAUGUAGGCUGGAGUCAAAAGGCUUUCCCAGGGUUUUGGCAUAGCUUUAUAGGAAAAUGGAUGGAAAUUACUUUGUAUAUUUUUGGAAGAAUAUUUUGCAUCCUGCUUUAAACUGUUCCAGAAGGUAAAAGGACGUUAGCUAGACUGUGUAUUGGCUCGUGUACUGGUGUGUCACUAAUGGCAAGGAGUUUUGCUUUACCUAAUUGUUCCUGUUUUCUGCAGCCACAGACUAUGAGAAAUGCAAAGAAAUAAUGGGCCAACCAGGGCAAUAAAGGCACUACUGGAUUCAGAGGGAGCAAACUCCUUCCACCACAUGAAACUUUCGUCUUUUAAGUCAUCAUAGCUCAUGCAGAACAGAAACAAUUUGACAUGUAUAACAAGAAACACUGCAAUUGUUUGCCAAACAAAGACUUAUACUGCAGAUGGAAGAACUGAUGAAAAUUGUUUAUAGAUGGGGAACUUAAUGCUGCCUGAGGACCCACUGGAAAAUCUAUGGACUUUUCUCCACAGCAAAUUUGUCUAUCGUCAAUACGUAAGUGGAUUGUCCACAGUUACACUGUGGCAGCUGCAGAGGAAGUGGAAGGUUCUCAGGAAUACAUUAGGGAGAACUGGAUUUUUGGCUUCUGAUAUAGUGUGGAGCGCCUUUGGAAACUGUGGAAGUUUAUGAGCUGGAUGUUACUGCUACAAAAGGCCUGUAUGUCCCUGAAGAGCUGAAGUGCAGAAGGCCUUGGUCAUUUCUCCCUGAAUGUGUGUGUCAGUUCUUCAGCUACUCUUGGCCACAAGGCUGUGGUUGCUUCUUGCACACCUGCCCUGCUCCCCUCAGUGCAAUACAGAUAUUUUACAUAGAGAAGAAAUUAUGCUCUAUUCUGAAGGGAAUGACAGAGCAUCUGAGAUCAUACAUUUAAGUCUCUACUUUAUAUAAACCCCAGGCAAUCAUGAACAAAACAUGCUUCAGCUCUGUUGUCUAUGCCUAGAUCUUACUAGAGGGAGGUAACUUCCAGUACUGUAAGUUCGGAGUCAGCCUGAGCAGGGCUCCGAAAUCAUCCUGCAGAUGCACAGCGUUAACCGGAAACAAUUCAGAGUGGCAGUGGUAUCCUGCAGGAUGUGUGCGACGCCUUCAGCUGUGUGUUGAUUUACACGGGGCCACAUUAUAGAUUAUACAUUCUGGUAAUUGUGGUAUUGUUAUUGCUGGGCUAUAUCUAAGCACAGGAAACACAUAUAAGCACAUUUGAAGUGAUAACAUCCACUCCUGUUUAAAGGGCAAUAUUUUAUUCUCAUACGUAAUACAGCAUUUGCAAUAAUAUAGACAAUUUCCUAACUGGUACAUAGAAGACUUUCAGGAGAAAAACCUGAUUCAUUGUGGGAGGCCCAUAACCAGCAUUUACAAAGAAAUCCACAUCAACUUUUAUUCACUUUAAUUUUAUUUUUUUCAGUAUGGACAUUAUUCCGAGAUCAAGAAGGAGACAAUACAUUGCCAUCUGAAAGCACAAGAAAGAUCAAAAUAAGUUUUCAAUGUGUCACCGAAACCACAGUGCUAGGUUUCUGUUAAGGAGAAUGAGUAAUACCAUUCUAGCUGUGAAGAAUGCUGUGAGUGGGUAAUAAUUCCAUCUAACUGAUAGGGCAGAUUUUCUGCAAGAAAAUAAAUUAUCCCAACUAAAAUCUUGCCCUAUUUCUUCAGCUCAGUAAGAAAGUCCAUUCACCAUCCCCAUUUAGCUGCUUGUCUAACAUUAGGAUAUCCUCCAUCCAACAUUCCCAACCCAGUCUUGCAAUUCAGGAACAGAUUGGCUCCAACUCUGGCCUGGACCAUAGCUAAAUCUAUAUCCAUGCUUGUAAUACUGUUGCAGAUCAAUAAUACGAUGCUAUACUGUAUAAAUUGGUUUGUUGAAAUGAUAGUUAUGAAUGAAGUUCUAAACAGACACUGCAACAUAUAAUAAAGGACUAACCUACUGACAGUUCUAAUGGGACUGUGAUUAACACAUACACAAAAUAGCCCAAAGCCCAAUGACUUGCUUCAUGAUUUCAUGAAAAACUUUUUAUUGUUUUCUAUCUGUAUUAUUUAACAUUAAAAAUACAUUUGUCUUUAUAAAUUUAUAUAAAUGCUACUGAUCUGAUAUUUUUGUGCUGACAGUCUAACACUGAACAAAAGUAUAGUUUUGUCAGACCUCAUAUGCACAAAAAUUGUUGAUGCCUUGUAAUAUGCCUUUGCAUUCUGGCAGCCUCUUCAUAAUAUUCUUUUGGAAGUGUCACCUGCUUAGGUAAGCUUUGAUUUACAAGAAAUUAUUAAGAAAUGUUUAAUUUUAAUUAUGAUCUUUACUAUUUACCUGAAUAGGAAUCUCUGUCCUUAGUUUAAACUUCUAAUAUCCUGUUUAACAAAGAAACAGCUUCAAUCGUACUAAAAGUACUUAAUGUUAAGAAAGUUUUCACAGUUGGUUGCUGGGAUUAGGGCUUUAAAAACAAAGGUCAGGUGAAGAUGCCUUCUUGGAAUACACUAGGAUACAAGCCUCUAUUUUUGUUUGUAGUUCAUAAAUCUACGUAUUACAUAAACCAGUAAUAACUUUAAUAUAAUUAAAUGUAUUUGUAUUUGUGUGAGUGACUGGAGUUGAACAGCACACCUACAUGGCUGCAGCAUAUGUGAAUCUUCCUGCAGUACAUUCUGGUGUUGGCUUCCAUUAGACAGUAAGAAAUGUUGCCUGCAAAAAUCUCUCACAACUUGAGACUAAUGUCUGUCUUCUUCACAUGGGAAAUGUAUUUCAUCACUCCCUCACAUGACAUCGAAUUCAGGUCUGUGGAAAUGAAAAUACCAGGCUCUGCACACCAUAGGAUUUGUAAUUAGCUUGAGAUAUCCAGAGAAAAUUCUGUAAGUUACUUUAUUUUGCCUUGUCUCAAAUCUGUCUGAUUUUGUUUGAGUUUAUGAGUAAUUUUUGGUGGAAAUGUCUAUGUUGCAAUUGAAAUGCUCUAACAAGUCCUCAUCACUAAAAUGCACUGAGUUCUGUUACUUCUGAGGAGCCAUGUGGAGUCCUGGAGUCCUUGUGGCUGCUGGGGAACUCAGGAGCUUCCUGGUCUCACUUGAGCCAUAUGACAGAACCCCAAAAACAACUGUGAUGUCUUUAGGUCUUAAAUAUUUGGUUUAAAUGUCUAAAAGGUAAGAGUUUCUUAAGCAUCCUGAGGCACGAGAGUUAACAGAUCAGCCUGAGCCAUGCCUCUUGCAUUUACUUCUUCAAUAAAGUUGUCAGGAUGCUGCCCAACCAGGCUGCCAGAUGUGCUCUCCACGUUUAGGGUAAGUAAUCACUUGGUCCUGGGAUCUUCUGCACAAGCUAUGCCUGAACCCACUGCAGUUAUUUUAGGUGACACACUAAAGUGGUCAGCAUAAACUGAGAAGACUUUGUCCAGCACUUUGUCAGCAUGCCAGAAGAAAUUCCUUGGGAUUCAGAGUCUAAGAUUUCAUUUCAGUUAAUUGUCAGGAUGAUGAAUAUUAUUUAUUCCACACUAAGGCUUAUUUUAAUCCAAAACACAGAUAGAUAGUGUCAAUGCAGGCAAAAUGAUAGUUCUUCCUGCACAGAAGCCCAUCUAGAUAUAAUCCAGUUUGCUCCCCUGUCUCUAAAUUUGAAGGACAACAGGAAUGGAGACUGCAGCUGGCCUGAGAUUCCCUUGCACUUGAACCUGAUCUAAUUAGGCAAGUCUAUUUUUUCACAAAAUAAAACCUUUAUAGACAACAAUAUGGUGAACUGAAAACUCCUCAAAGUUGUUAAAUUCUGUCUAGUUUGGAAAAGGAGCUGUAUCAGGCCGAUGCUCAGUGAGGCAAUGGAGCCCAGUGGGCAGAGUGCUGGACAGGGAUUGAGAAAUCUGGGUUCUUUUCCAAAAUCUCCUGACUUUUAAAUGACCUUGAGCUGUCACUUCUCUGUGCUUUGGAUUCACUGCCUGUAUGAGUAGGAUAAUAAUGCUCACAAUGGUUUCAGAGUUGCUGAAGGAAGGAUCUACAUGAACACAACACUUCGUGCACUACCCUGAGCUAGAUGCAGCUGUGGUUAGAGGUGGCCAGGAUUUGGUCAAUGCCUCGUGUAUUCCAGAAAAUCUGGGAAACUUUGAUUGUUACACAGCUUGCUUUCAGUUAUCGGUCAAAACACAUUUUUAUGUUAAAGGUCUUUCUUAUCUUUCACACCAUUACAAAAUAUCUCCAGAAAAUUUCAUAUUAUUUACUUACGCAUUAAUACUCACAGUUCAUAUCCCUGUUACUGGGAACUGCAGAGUGCCUCUCAGGAUCAUACAAAUGAUAACUUAACAUAGAUAAUGUGGUUUUGACCUAAAAAAGAGAAGUGUUUUGCAAUGUUAUAUUUAACAUAUCUGGGGGAAAAAAAUUAUCAGUUUAUGUUAUAAGGUAAUUGAAUUGGGCUUUUAGUUUGAAACAUUCUCUUUGAAACUAAAAAAAAAUUUUUUUUUUAAUUGUCAUUUUAGAUCAAUGUCUUGAUUUCACACAUUUUGGAUUAAUAUACAACUACAAGCUCUGUGCACAAAAAAAGAACAGUCUACUUUCAAAACUGCUGAAUGCUUUGACCUCAAGGGCAUAGAAACUGUUGACUCAUUGUUUUUACUGCAUAUAAUAUUAGUCCUUUGUCACAUCCAGGGAAUGACAUCAUCUUCUUCAUUGUUAGCAGCAGGUUUGAAUAACAGAAAAAGUGCAGCAUUAGUUGUCUGCUGUGUUUGUUCUUAAUAAAUGAAUGGAUAUCUGGUACCAAGACUCAGAUUAGGAUUUUUGAGUAACAUUUAGAACAAGCUUGUGCCCAAACCCUGCAAAGAGCUUUGCUUCUGGCCACCAUCUGCAGGGCAGUCAAGCUGGCAGGAGCCCGGAGCCUGCAGAGGGAACGUAGCUGAUGGUUCUGGCUUCUUGAAAGUGGUAAGAGGAGUCGGGAAAGGAAGAGAUUAAGCACAGAAUGAAACAGAUCUGUUCUUCAAGGUCAUUUUAGUAAAAGGAGUCCCUGCACUUCUGUGAAUCAUACUUCUGUGAAAUCUAAAAUCAUGAAAAGUAAUUAUCGGAAAAUAAGUCAUCUCUAGGACAUGCAAACAAAAUGGGAACUAAUUAUCUUGAAAAUGCACCAGAACAAGUAUUUCAUCUAUUCCAAAUUUGUAUUCAUGUUUAUUAGUCUUCUACUCCCUAUAACUAAAAUGUCUAUGUCCUAAUCUCAAAGAGUAAUUCCCUAUCAGAAGUAUUUGGUUACUCCUGCCUGCUUCAUGGAAGAAGGAUACAUCAUUAUGAUUACUAACCAGGCUGAUGGAGGUCUUCUUUAAGGUCAUACACCACCUUCUAUAAGGUUCUUCAGAAUUUUUUCAUGGCAGAGAAAAUUUUAAGUGUUGCUUCCUGAACAAUAAACAUUUCUAGUGGAAAAGAAUUUACUCAGGGAGAGAGUCCUCGAGAGUCUGAUCAAAUAUCAAAUUCUACCUAAUCCAUUGCCAAUUGCCUUUAUGUUUUCCCAGAAAAAUGUGAUGUCUUUAACUAUAAAAUUAUACCUUUGUGGUUCCAAAAAUAUUUGUCCUGAAGAUAAGUUCCUGUGUUGAGAGAAUGAAUCAAACUGGACUUUGAAAAGCUAAAAUCCAUAGAGCUGUGAGAGAAGCACUGAGGCAGCAGGCUGGGAAAGCUGGAGGUCAUGGGUUAAGGAUCCAGGAUUGUUGGAUCACAGAGGUCCACAUACCAAGAGUAGACGCAGACAAGGGCUACACACAAGGAAAUAUUUUCUAGAAUGCCAGAACUAAAAAAGAAUAAACAAGCCAUGCUGUAAAAGAUCAAAAUCAGACCUUGUUGACUUGGAAGCAAGAGGUCUGAUGUACUGGCCUCUUCAGAACAGACAUAACUGUACUUGUGCAGGUAGGGAGAGCUGCCUUGCACGUAGGCUUGAGCAGAUGCAUCUAUUUCAAUUCCUAUCCCAAAUGUAUAUUGCAAAUUUCAGACUUAUCUGUUAUGAGAAGUAAGAAAUGUUACACUUUUUUUCUACAUAUUUCAUAUGCUUUUGCCAUAUGAAGUCUUUCCUCAGUCUUCUGUUCCAGUCUGUGGGUCACCUUCAAUCAACAUUUCAAAAAGUCUCAAGUAGCAUGAAUUUUGGUGAGGCCAAAUCACUUGAUUUUCCCUUACCCUGUUUAGAAGAGGCUUUACUUGGAUAAAAGCAAUAGUGCCAGCCAUUUCCCUUCAUCCUUUAAAAUUACUGGCCACCUCUAAAGAACUUGGCCUCUCUUUUAUGUCACUUUCUGACAACUCAUUUGAGUUGAACAGGUUGCUGUGGCCAAAUUAAAUGCUUGGGAAAUGGACCAUACAAUUAAUUUGCAAUAGUAAGUUGUCUCAGCAUCAUUUCUCUUCCUCUCAAGGGGAAUGCUGGCUCAAGCAAAAGAAAAGAUUAACGUAAUAAAAAUAUUCUAAAGACAUCCUGUUAAUUGUCCCAAGCUCAGAUGGUAUUGUCUAUUCUUCUGUUGUGCAUAGCCAGCAAACAGUGUAAAAUCCAGAAUUCCUUCCUACAAUGAAAGCAGAGCCUUCAGUGCUACAGGAUAAUCCCUGCCUUUCUGGAAAGCAGAUGAAAAUGUGGUGUGGCAGAGCUUUGCUUUGGGUUUCAGAGGUGAGCUCAAAUUUGCUCCAUUGAUGAAUAUAAUAAUAGGACUUUUUAAUUUAGAUACAUCAGCAACUUUAACCAAGAGAAUAAAGAUUUAUGGAAAAAAGGAAAAUUGCAAACAAAGUAAGAGCAAAUUUUGGGAAAAGAAGGAAAAUUUUUUCCCUGAAUAUGCAAAAGAGAUUUCCCAUGUUUGUUUAGGGACAGAAAACACUCAAGGUUUUAAAUUCAGCCAAAAUAAAGGCUUUCAUUUACAAUCA